CGGGGGUGGACACCAUGAAUCGUCUAAUCCUACUGUUGCCUCAAGAGGUCGUCAGCAACCACCCACAAGGCGCCGGGGAGCACGCGGCGGUCGGGGACGUGGUUCAAGGGCCUCUGCCAGAACGGA